UACGAAGGUCCCAAGCGUUAUCCGGAUUUAUUGGGUUUAAAGGGUGCGUAGGCGGGCUAUUAAGUCAGUGGUGAAAGCCUCAAGCUUAACUUGAGAAUUGCCAUUGAUACUGAUGACCUUGAGUACAUUUGAAGUGGGCGGAAUGUGUCAUGUAGCGGUGAAAUGCUUAGAUAUGACACAGAACACCGAUUGCGUAGGCAGCCCACUAAACUGUAACUGACGCUGAGGCACGAAAGCGUGGGGAGCAAACAGG
rnacentral:rRNA from 1 species